ACGAACGCUGGCGGCGUGCUUAACACAUGCAAGUCGAACGGAAAGGCCCUGCUUUUGUGGGGUGCUCGGGGGGCGAACGGGUGAGUAACACGUGAGUAACCUGCCCUUGACUUUGGGAUAACUUCAGGAAACUGGGGCUAAUACCGGAUAGGAGCUCCUGCUGCAGGGGGGGGGUUGGAAAGUUUCGGCGGUUGGGGAUGGACUCGCGGCUUAUCAGCUUGUUGGUGGGGUAGUGGCUUACCAAGGCUUUGACGGGUAGCCGGCCUGAGAGGGUGACCGGCCACAUUGGGACUGAGAUACGGCCCAGACUCCUACGGGAGGCAGCAGUGGGGAAUAUUGCACAAUGGGCGGAAGCCUGAUGCAGCAACGCCGCGUGCGGGAUGACGGCCUUCGGGUUGUAAACCGCUUUCGCCUGUGACGAAGCGUGAGUGACGGUAAUGGGUAAAGAAGCACCGGCUAACUACGUG
rnacentral:rRNA from 1 species